GUUUGGGAUGUGGGUAAUUGCUGAAGAAUUAGAAACUCUGGGACCUGGGACGCAGAAGCAGCAAAACAACUACACUUGCGGGUUCCUGAGAUCGCCCUACCAAAGCGACUAGGUGGGAGACGGCCAAAAGCGAAAGUCACAGAGAAGGCAUGAACUAGUCCAGAACCAUUACAAAGUACAAGGUCAGGCUGGAAAAGACACAGGGGUCACACCCUCCCAGAACUGUGGAAUGAAUGAAGUUCAUGAGCUGAGGCACCGUUAUAUUUGGCCACAUUCUGAGUGCACCACUGAAAAGGAGACACUGCAGAAGCCUCCAUACUGGUAGCAGAACCUUUCCACUUUAAUUGAAUCUCAACCCUCCGCACUAGAAGAAAAACAAG
rnacentral:lncRNA from 1 species